rnacentral:rRNA from 1 species
CACUCUAGCGAGACUGCCGGUAAUAAACCGGAGGAAGGUCGGGGAUGACGUCAAAUCAUCAUGCCCCUUAUGACCUGGGCUACACACGUGCUACAAUGGUUGGUACAACGAGUUGCGAGUCGGUGACGGCGAGCUAAUCUCUUAAAGCCAAUCUCAGUUCGGAUUGUAGGCUGCAACUCGCCUACAUGAAGUCGGAAUCGCUAGUAAUCGCGGAUCAGCACGCCGCGGUGAAUACGUUCCCGGGCCUU